CUUCCCAUUCUGCAACAUCCUUCCUGUGCUGGGAAGGAGAACACACCUCUGAAAAGACAUGGGAAAAUGUGGUAAUGUGCAUUCUCAGUGACUACUGACUCUGGUGGAAAAUAACCAGUCUACGCUCUUUUUCUGAAGUCUUCAUCACAUGUUAGAUCCUGUCAAGGAGCUAAGGGGGACCGUGAAUUCCUGCUUUCUUCUGUGUAUAUUUCAGCAGGAAAAUCCUCCAGAAACACAGAUUUUUACAGCCUUAACGUCAAUUUGACCCAAAACUGGAAUUGUGAAUAUGCUCUACUGUAAUCAACUCUGCAAUGAUCAAGGACUGUUUCAUGUCUGUAUAAGGAGGAAUAAAGCUCUUGAAGACUUUUGCCAGAUUGAGUGUUUUAAAUAAGCUGAUGUCUAUCCUCAAUCUGGAUAUUACAG